rnacentral:rRNA from 1 species
UGACGGUACUUGACUAAGAAGCCCCGGCUAACUACGUGCCAGCAGCCGCGGUAAUACGUAGGGGGCAAGCGUUAUCCGGAUUUACUGGGUGUAAAGGGAGCGUAGACGGUAAGGCAAGUCUGAAGUGAAAUGCAGGGGCUCAACCCCUGAACUGCUUUGGAAACUGUCAAACUAGAGUGCAGGAGAGGUAAGUGGAAUUCCUAGUGUAGCGGUGAAAUGCGUAGAUAUUAGGAGGAACACCAGUGGCGAAGGCGGCUUACUGGACUGUAACUGACGUUGAGGCUCGAAAGCGUGGGGAGCAAACAGGAUUAGAUACCCUG